GACGAACCGUGCAAACGUUUAUUCGGAAUCACUGGGCUUAAAGGGCGCGUAGGCGGGCAACCAAGUCCGAGGUGAAAUCCUCCAGCUUAACUGGAGAAGUGCCCCGGAUACUGGCUGCCUCGAGGAGGGUAGGGGCAUCUGGAACUAGCGGGUGGAGCGGUGAAAUGCGUUGAUAUCGCUAGGAACUCCGGUGGCGAAGGCGAGGUGCUGGACCCUUUCUGACGCUGAGGCGCGAAAGCCAGGGGAGCGAACGGG
rnacentral:rRNA from 1 species